rnacentral:rRNA from 1 species
ACUCCUACGGGAGGCAGCAGUAGGGAAUCUUCCACAAUGGGCGCAAGCCUGAUGGAGCAACACCGCGUGAGUGAAGAAGGGUUUCGGCUCGUAAAGCUCUGUUGUUAAAAGAAGAACACGUAUGAGAGUAACUGUUCAUACGUUGACGGUAUUUAACCAGAAAGUCACGGCUAACUACGUGCCAGCAGCCGCGGUAAUACGUAGGUGGCAAGCGUUAUCCGGAUUUAUUGGGCGUAAAGAGAGUGCAGGCGGUUUUCUAAGUCUGAUGUGAAAGCCUUCGGCUUAACCGGAGAAGUGCAUCGGAAACUGGAUAACUUGAGUGCAGAAGAGGGUAGUGGAACUCCAUGUGUAGCGGUGGAAUGCGUAGAUAUAUGGAAGAACACCAGUGGCGAAGGCGGCUACCUGGUCUGCAACUGACGCUGAGACUCGAAAGCAUAGGUAGCGAACAGGAUUAGAUACCCUGGUAGGAUAGCG